AGUAGUGGCGAGCGAAAUCGGACCAGCCAAAAAAGACAUAGGGCGCAAGAAGAACAUUCUGGGAAGGAUGACCAAAGAAGGUGAUAGUCCUGUAUUUAUAAGCAAACUAUGUAAAAACGAGUAGGGCGGAGCACGAGAAAUUCUGUCUGAAGAUGGGUAGACCACUAUCCAAGGCUAAGUACUACUGAUUGACCGAUAGUGAACAAGUACCGUGAGGGAAAGGUGAAAAGCACCCCGAUAAGGGGAGUGAAAGAGAACCUGAAACCGGAUGCCUACAAGCAGUCGGAGGAACAUUAAGUUCUGACGGCGUACCUUUUGUAUAAUGGGUCAGCGACUUAAUUUAUGUAGCAAGCCUAAGCCGAUAGGUGUAAGCGAAGCGAAAGCGAGUGUUAAUAGCGCGAAAAGUUACAUGGAUUAGACCCGAAACCGAGUGAUCUAGCUAUGAGCAGGUUGAAGGUUGGGUAACACCAACUGGAGGACCGCACCCACGCCUGUUGAAAAAGUCGGGGAUGACUUGUAGCUAGGGGUGAAAGGCCAAUCAAACUCGGAAAUAGCUGGUUCUCCGCGAAAACUAUUUAGGUAGUGCGGCAAGCGAAUACCUUGAGGGGUAGAGCACUGGAAGAAUGAGGGGGGAGCGAUCCUUACUAAAUUUUACCAAACUCCGAAUACUCAAGAGUAAUACUUGCCAGACAGACAGUAGGUGCUAAGGUCUAUUGUCGAGAGGGAAAGAGCCCAGACCGUCAAUUAAGGUCCCUAAAUUAUGGCUAAGUGGUAAAGGAAGUGAAUUGUCCAAAACAGUCAGGAGGUUGGCUUAGAAGCAGCCAUCCUUUAAAGAAAGCGUAAUAGCUCACUGAUCUAAUUAAGACGAUUUGCGCCGAAGAUGUAACGGGGCUAAAGCCAUAUACCGAAAUUACGGGUUUGUACUAAGUACAAGCGGUAGCGGAGCGUUCUGUAAGCCUGCGAAGGUGUUCCGUAAGGAAUGCUGGAGGUAUCAGAAGUGAGAAUGCUGACAUGAGUAGCGAAAAGAAGUGUGAGAGACACUUCCGCUGAAAGUCCAAGGUUUCCUGCGUAAAGCUAAUCUGCGCAGGGUUAGUCGGCCCCUAAGGUGAGGCUGAGAAGCGUAGCUGAUGGGAAGCAGGUUAAUAUUCCUGCACCAGCUAGGAGGUGACGGAUUUCAAAGAUUGUAACUGAUUAUUGGAUUUCGGUUGCAGUUCAGAAGUUCCAGGAAAGAGCCCUAGCAUAGACCGUACCCCAAACCGACACAGGUGGACAGGUAGAGAAUACCAAAGCGCUUGAGAGAACUAUGUUAAGGAACUAGGCAAAAUGCUUGUGUAACUUCGGGAUAAGCAAGCCCCAUUUUUAGGCAACUAAAGGUGGGGGGCACAUACUAGGGGGUAGCGACUGUUUACUAAAAACACAGGGCUCUGCUAAAUUGAAAGAUGAAGUAUAGGGUCUGACGCCUGCCCGGUGCUGGAAGGUUAAGGAGAGAUGUUCACGCAUUGAACUGAAGCCCCAGUAAACGGCGGCCGUAACUAUAACGGUCCUAAGGUAGCGAAAUUCCUUGUCGGGUAAGUUCCGACCUGCACGAAUGGCGUAACGACUUCCCCGCUGUCUCCAACAUAGGCUCAGCGAAAUUGAACUCUGAGUUAAGAUGCUCAGUACCCGCGGUUAGACGGAAAGACCCCGUGAACCUUUACUAUAGCUUUGCAGUGGUAUUAGGUAAUAGAUGUGUAGAAUAGGUGGGAUGCUAUGAAGCAGGGACGCUAGUUCUUGUGGAGCAGACUUUGAAAUACCACCCUUUUGUUAUUUGAUAUCUAACCUGCUCCCGUAGAUCCGGGAGAGGGACCCUGCAUGGUGGGUAGUUUGACUGGGGCGGUCGCCUCCCAAAGAGUAACGGAGGCGUGCGAAGGUUAGCUCAGACUGGUCGGAAAUCAGUCGUCGAGUGCAAUGGCAUAAGCUAGCCUGACUGCGAGAGAGACAUUUCGAGCAGAUACGAAAGUAGGUCAUAGUGAUCCGGUGGUCCCGAG
rnacentral:rRNA from 1 species